UGUGUGGGGUAGCCGGAGCGAAAGCGAGUCUGAAGAGGGCGUGUGAGUCGCGUGGUGUAGACCCGAAGCGGGGUGAUCUACCCAUGGCCAGGGUGAAGCGCGGGUAAGACCGUGUGGAGGCCCGAACCCACCAGGGUUGAAAACCUGGGGGAUGAGUUGUGGGUAGGGGUGAAAGGCCAAUCAAACUCCGUGAUAGCUGGUUCUCCCCGAAAUGCAUUUAGGUGCAGCGUCGCGUGUUGCUUGGGUGGGGUAGAGCACUGGUUGGUUGAUGGGCCUUCGCGGGUUACUGAGAUCAGCCAAACUCCGAAUACAUUCGAGUUGAGCGUGGCAGUGAGACGGUGGGGGAGAAGCUUCAUCGUCGAGAGGGAAACAGCCCAGAGCAUCGGCUAAGGCCCCUAAGUGUGCGCUUAGUGGGAAAGGAUGUGGGAUCGCUGAGACAACCAGGAGGUUGGCUUAGAAGCAGCCAUCCUUGAAAGAGUGCGUAAUAGCUCACUGGUCAAGUGGUCCUGCGCCGACAAUGUAGCGGGGCUGAAGCGCACCGCCGAAGCCAUGCCAAU
rnacentral:rRNA from 1 species